rnacentral:rRNA from 1 species
UACAGAGGGGGCAAGCGUUGUUCGGAAUUACUGGGCGUAAAGGGCGCGUAGGCGGCCUUCUAAGUCGAACGUGAAAUCCCCAGGCUCAACUUGGGAACUGCGUCUGAUACUGGAUGGCUUGAAUUCGGGAGAGGGAUGCAGAAUUCCAGGUGUAGCGGUGAAAUGCGUAGAUAUCUGGAGGAAUACCGGUGGCGAAGGCGGCAUCCUGGACCGAGAUUGACACUGAUGAGCGAAAGCUAGGGGAGCAAACGGG